UACGGAGGGUGCAAACGUUGCUCGGAAUCAUUGGGCGUAAAGCGCACGUAGGCGGCUCGUUAAGUCGGAUGUGAAAGCCCUGGGCUCAACCCAGGAAGUGCAUACGAAACUGGCGAGCUUGAGUAUGGAAGAGGGUCGCGGAAUUCCCGGUGUAGAGGUGAAAUUCGUAGAUAUCGGGAGGAACACCAGUGGCGAAGGCGGCGACCUGGGCCAACACUGACGCUCAUGCACGAAAGCGUGGGGAGCAAACAGG
rnacentral:rRNA from 1 species